GUUCACUCACAGCCACUUCAGGAACUGUAGACUUGUGUACAGUGUCAUACAUGUCACAGGUUUAUCCCAAAGUGAGCUCGUCUGAGAAGCGUUCUCUCAAAGACGUGAAAGUGUAGUUGCGUAACUAUUUGGCCUUUGUCGUCGUUUAUCUGGAUGGCAGAAGACGAUAAGACGACACUCCACAUCUCUACUUUUGUGAUUUCAUGGUCCCUUCACCUUCGUUCAUCCCACUUAGUCGGUGCAGCACAUAAGACGUUGACCCUGGCAGAAUAUGGAGUGAAGUUGUGUUUGUUGAUGUAGUUAUUAUUCACCAGUAUGUUUGUGUGUGCGAUGCGUUAUUCCUCGCCUCAGUGAAAACAUCUACUGUAUAUGAUUGAAUUAUUAAUGAAGUUACGAUUGUUGUUCACACAUAGCAGCACACAAUACGUGCCCCGCUCAAUAAGUCUUAUGUUUCCUUAUUUAUACCACCGCUCUGUUGAGGCUGUCGCUUCCAGAACGCUCCGAUAUCCCUCUGAAUGUGGAGGAACUAUUGAAUCCCUCUCUGCAACUUUUAGCAAGUAAAAGGUACAAUUUGUAUGAACAUGUUAAUAACGUGUAAUAAGUGUCAGCGGUCUGUCAAGCUGAGCAUUAUUUCUCAUCUUAACGGCAGCAAAAGGGCAACCAUGUGGUCUGUGAUGAGAAGUUUCCAUGUUUUAAAUGUUGUGUGUCAGUUGAAACCACUGGCUGACUAAGGAGGUGGAAUUAGGAUAAGUUGGCGAGAGCACGCAUAAACCAGAGUUCGGUCCUUUCACCCCAAAUCCACCUCCCACGUUGAGACGAGCUGCAUCUUACAUCUUACAUGCAUCUAUCAGGGAACCGCUCCGCUAAGACAGGAACCCACAUCCCUGCAUGCAGGCAAGGUCUGUCCGUCUGUCCGUGUCAUUUGGAUCAGACACUUGAGUCUCUAGCGUUCAUUUGCAGGAACACGCGUGUCCCUCCGUCUGCUCGGCUGUGUGUGUGUGUCAGAAUGACUGCUUUUUAACAGGAGCAGCUUUGGGGUUUAUGGUUCCAUAGUCACACACACUCUUUAUCUCCAAUCCAGAGGCGGGUGAGUGAAUAUCACCUCCACUCAGCCAUGUGGUGUGCUGUGGCUGAGGGAGAGAAAGCAGCGUCCGGACCGCCUGAACAGAAGGAAAUGGUUUGGUACAGGUGUGGUCAUCCUGAUCCUCGGCAUAGUUGGAGCUGAGGUUUGAGCCCAACAUCCCAACAUCUCCAUUUAGUUCCGGCGCUGUAGUUCAAGGCUCGCAGUGAACGUCUCCGUGAGCUGUGACCUUCAGCGCCUCUGGUGUCCGUUUCUCCUGAAGCCCGCUGUUGACAUCGCGCUCCGCUCACAAAGGUUAAUGAGACCGGCCUGACGUUUUGUCUGUAUACGAUGCUUUAAACUCACUUGUGUUUCCUUUUUUUGUGCCUGUUCCAAAUGUUACCGAAUCAUUACAGCCCGUUAACAUCAAAGCCCCCCAACACACGUUCACAGUUAAUUAACAUCAAUGUUCCCUGAAGAAAUGCCAGGCAGCCUCGGCGCUGGCUGGACAAUAAGCACAUUAUCACCACGCUUGUAGAGGACGGGGAGACGCUGUGGUGGAGGAUGGCUUGCGCCGUCCCCGACCAAUUCUCCUUUUAUAACCUCUGUUUGUCUUUAAGACGAGUCCAAACCACCACAGCAGCUUCAAUGGAAGCGGGCGAGAGCUGCUGCCCAUGAAAUAUCGCUGUCAAAGACAAACUCUUUAGUGUCAACAGACAGCACUGCAAAAUACUCUCAUGAUGGGAAUACCAGCGCAGCUCGAGCUAAUAUUUUGGAUAAAAGUUUGGAACCAGAUGUCCAUGUGUUCAUUAGCCGCGGACACGGACUCCGAUUAAUGAGCGUGCUUGUGGUAUUAUCCGUGUCAGCCGACCCUGUUGCUCUGUUCAGGCUGCAAUAGCUUCUCAAUUAUUCAUGCUGCCCCGGCGCUCUACGGAGGAUGCUGUCACACAGCCACUAUGUGUCUUGAUCUAAUUAGCUGGAGGAAGAGAGAGAGAGAGAGCGGCAUAGAGGGAGAAAGGGGGGUGAAAGAAGGAAGGAAGGAAGGAAAUGUACAAAGGGAAGAAGCAGAAGUGUGCAAGAGGAGUUUUGCCUAGAAGCUUUGUAAACAACUCCUCAAACGGCGGUUGUUGUGGAGUUCUUCCUGAGUCGACGGAAGCGUCUCUGCGUGACUUCUGUGUUGUGUGUGUGUGUGUGUGUGUGUGUACACAAUCCGCUUCUGUCUCAUAAAUGGUGUCUCUGUCAAAUGAAUGAAAAUUCAUCAUUGUUAUAAAAGCACACUUUUGUCUCGAGAACUCUGUUUUUAACUGAUUAGCUGUGCAACUAUAAAAGUAAUUCAUUGAGACCCUUGUUAUUUUUUUGUACCAGAUAAUCUCAUGCUGUUCAUGACCCACUGUUUGGUUUUUAAUUAGCUGAUUUCCCCCCUUUUGAUUAGUACCAGCCUUCAUGCCCUUUCCGUUCCUUACUUUCCUUCAAUCACAACAUGCCGAUCAACUCGUGUUGUUUAGAGUCCAGUUGGACCUCUGUGGCUCUUUCCUGUGACGUUCUGUAGCCCGUUUACUCCUCAGCGACCCAAAAAUCAAUGGCGCUAAAUGACAUAACUGAAGAGCCACUGAAGGGGCGGUUGGAGGUGGACGGCAGGUUUGGUGGUACUGUGGCGCCGGCUGCUCUCACCCAGCGCUCCUACUGUGGCUGUGACAAAUACUGCUCUGUAGUCUGAAGGUAUCCGGAUGAUCCAUCGGAUCUGCUUCAUUGGAAAGCGGAAAAACACCGACUCACAGCGCUCACACGGCGCAGGUCAGAGUCGCGAUUGUUUUAAGCCGAACAGCGAUCUCUUUGUAAACCUAACUAAGUAGUUUUAUGACUAAAGUGUCCUGGGAAGACUGCAGUUCAUUUUGAAAAGACAAUAUGCAAGUAAUGGUUACUCUCUCUUAUAGGAAAACACAUGUGCUGAAAAUACUUUAUAUAAGGAGUUGACUCUGCAGUGACAUUUGCUUCACUUGGUAAAAUUGUCACCAUUCUACCUGAGAAACGUGUAACACAACUGUUAUUGUGUCAUUAGCACCUGCAGCCUUCUGUAGUUGGUGUGAAUUAAGCGACACUAUGACCCAACAUCGUCCUGACUCUGGAAGACACAAGUGACACAAAAUACUGUGUCACUAAUAAAAAUAAGGGGCAAUUAGUGUCUAGGGACUGCUGUAAAACAAAGGGAGGCUUGAAUAAAGACAAAAAGGGUUAUCAAAAUGCACAUGAGGUAUUGCAGCGGUUACACUCCAAAAACAAAGCUGUCCUUUUAUUCUUUCUUUUAAUUGAAAUCAGUCAUCAGUAGUGUUGCGAUCUCUGAAUUCUGCAUUUAUUUGUGUCCAACCAGGGCUGUAGUGGACAGCUGCAUUAGGCUCACUGAUUAUUCCUGUUCUAUUGUAUUCUAUCAUAAGCCGAGCCCCCGGCACCCUGCUGAUAAAUGAAGUGGCCAGUCAGGUUAUGCUAAUUGAUGUCUCCUCUUUUUGCUUCCUUCCUCUUUCCUCCAAAGUUCAAUUACACUCAUCGACGGCCAUCCAUCACGGGAAUGGAGCUGGCUGCGGGGCUAAAUUAAAUGUGCCAAUUUCAAUUAGCCAGCGUGAGGCAGUGCUGGGGGACAGAGGUGACUGUGGUGGAAAUUGGUUAGCCGGGGGGCCGGGAUUAGAAAAA
ensembl:lncRNA